CCCGCUCAUUCGCACCCGAGCGCAUGCCGUGCUUUCCAUGCUAAAUCUGCCCCUUCUCCUAUCGCUGUCAUUUUCCGUGACUCACUAAGUUUACAUUCUGCGUCGGGAUCGAAAAGAAAAAUAAACUCAUUUUCAUUCUGUUUUAUCCGGAUCAGUUCUGGACCACUUUUCGCGCUCGAUUGAUGUUGUUUAUUUUUUUCCUUCUUCUUUUUGUUUGCAUGAUGGUCUUGGACUCACACACGUCAGUUUCCACCGGGUACAAGUGUCGAGAGCACAUUUUCCCCCUGGCGGCCAUAGAGUUCUUUCGUUCGAAAUAUCUUCUCGCUUCAUGUGCGUACGAACUGAGCUCUUACUCGGUCAAUCAACCACUGCUGCUAUAU
rnacentral:lncRNA from 1 species